rnacentral:tRNA from 1 species
AUAUUUGUGGUGUAAUAAACACACUGCCCUUUCAAGGCAGAAAUGUUCCUGCAACCUGAUAUA